rnacentral:rRNA from 1 species
CGCCGCGGUCACACGAGAGGCCCAAGUUGAUAGCUACCGGCGUAGAGCGUGGUUAGAAAAUAGAAUCACUAAGACCAAAUACUUUUAGUGCUGUCAUACGCAUUCAAGAGUUAGAAGCCCAACUACGAAAGUAAUCUUAAUUAUUUUGAACCCACGAAAGCUAUGACA